AGCUUAUUUUCGACGGAUUGGAGGCAAUUAUCACGGCAGAUGGAGGGAAACAAUCCAAGCAAUCCAGGAGAAAAUCAUCAAGUACCGUAACCAGAAUGCUGCUUCCAAAGACGGUUCGCAUCAGUUCUGAUCCUCCUAGAAGCUCUCGAUGGAUUUGCUGGCAAAUAUAGCGGAGUUUAAUGGAUAUCGGGCAUCGGAAUGGAUUCAGAAUCUAUGGAACCGAUCAUCUUCUCAUUCCUGAAAAUGACCAGCACUCACCCCAGUAGAAUGUUCUACAAAAUAUUCCUCGCUUAAGGCUGUUGCGAUUGAUGUCACACCAAAUGCCCGUUACCGAUUCCGUUACACCAUCCUCAAUGUCUGUUCCGGUGUUCCCCUCAUGUGGAUCGGAAGAGUAAAAAUGGCGUGAACAAGUUGAGCAUCAGCUCAU